GUAGGGAAUCUUCCACAAUGGGCGAAAGCCUGAUGGAGCAACGCCGCGUGAGUGAAGAAGGUUUUCGGAUCGUAAAGCUCUGUUGUUGGUGAAGAAGGAUAGAGGUAGUAACUGGCCUUUAUUUGACGGUAAUCAACCAGAAAGUCACGGCUAACUACGUGCCAGCAGCCGCGGUAAUACGUAGGUGGCAAGCGUUGUCCGGAUUUAUUGGGCGUAAAGCGAGCGCAGGCGGAGAAAUAAGUCUGAUGUGAAAGCCCUCGGCUUAACCGGGGAAUUGCAUCGGAAACUGUUUUUCUUGAGUGCAGAAGAGGAGAGUGGAACUCCAUGUGUAGCGGUGGAAUGCGUAGAUAUAUGGAGGAACACCAGUGGCGAAGGCGGCUCUCUGGUCUGUAACUGACGCUGAGGCUCGAAAGCAUGGGUAGCGAACAGGAUUAGAUACCCCGGUAGUCC
rnacentral:rRNA from 1 species